rnacentral:lncRNA from 1 species
CUGUGUCAACGUGCAUGCACGUGUUUGACCUGGAAAGCAACUACCACGCUCAGAGACGAACCGGCAACACUGAAGGUAGAGGCGACGGCCCUUUCUCGCUAGUUUCCCCGCAAGAUCUUCAUGAGCGUAGCUCCUGCGUGGCCUGAUACAGGGUUGAGGGAGGCGACUUCUUGCCAAAAGAAUCUUGAAUGUCUUUGUUUACCGGGUCCAAGUUCACCCACUGAGUACACACACAAAGGAACCUAUUAUGGGCCUUCCGAUUAUGAUGAAUACAACUGUUGUUUGCUGUGUCGGCUUCCCGAAACUCUACGUGUCGAACUGAGCAUUAGAUUUUCUCCCGAUGUAAGUCCUUUACACCAGGAUAACCAUAACGCUAUUGGCACACUGACAUCGCGGUGCAAGGCUCGUGAUGCGACCACCUUUCCUUGACAUCAGGCUCUCAGCGAACAUGUCAGUUUUAUUCCGUUUAGUUGAACGCUGUAGCAGUGGAGCCGCGAAAUUCAGGGAAAGCGAAAGCAGGGAUGGCUGGGCUCCGGCAUUGCUGUCAGCGUCAGGCAUCCGAAGAUUGCCAAGAAGCCGGUACAACGUCAAGCCCUGAACGACUCCUGACUGUCGAGGCAUACCUUGAGUUGUCGCGAGAAAAAGUUUCCUCUCGCCAAUGACCAGUGUUCUAUGGGGGCAGAGUGUCCUGGUAUCUCUUUUUAGCAACUUUAGAAAACAAUCUCAUCUUUCUGCGGUCUGCCUUUUCGGGAC